rnacentral:rRNA from 1 species
GUGAGGAAUAUUGGUCAAUGGACGGAAGUCUGAACCAGCCAAGUAGCGUGCAGGAUGACGGCCCUAUGGGUUGUAAACUGCUUUUGUAUGGGAAUAAAGUGAGGGACGUGUCCCUUUUUGUAUGUACCAUAAGAAUAAGGACCGGCUAAUUCCGUGCCAGCAGCCGCGGUAAUACGGAAGGUCCGGGCGUUAUCCGGAUUUAUUGGGUUUAAAGGGAGCGCAGGCUGGAGAUUAAGCGUGACGUGAAAUGCCGCGGCUCAACCGUGGAAGUGCGUCGCGAACUGGUUUCCUUGAGUGUAUUCGACGUCAGCGGAAUUCGUGGUGUAGCGGUGAAAUGCUUAGAUAUCACGAAGAACUCCGAUUGCGAAGGCAGCUGGCGAGGCUAUAACUGACGCUAAAGCUCGAAGGUGCGGGUAUCGAACAGG